rnacentral:rRNA from 1 species
CAAGGAGUCUUGCUCCUCGUGCGAGUUUAAAGGUACUCCACGAAGCCCAGAAGGCGCAGCGAAAGCGCUAKAUCGCGAUCCCUCCUGUACKAGAGGGGGGCGCAGCGACCGCCCGCUACCUUAAAKUAGUGAACGGACCGAGAGCACGAGGGCAGGGACCCGAUAGGUGGUGAAUUAUUCUCGGGCAGGACGAAGGCCGAGGAAACUCGGCUGGAGUUCCGAAGCGGUUCUGACGUGCAAAUCGAUCGUCCGACCCGAGUAUAGGGGCGAAAGACCAAUCGAACCACCUGGUAGCUGGUUCCCUCCGAAGUUUCCCUCAGGAUAGCUGUCGCUCUGUUGUAGCAGUCUCGCCGGGUAGAGAGAAUGAUUAGAGCGCCUCGGGGACGCCCGUGUCACUCGACCUCUUCUCAAACUACGAACGGACGAGAAAGGGAGCCUCUCCCGAUUCGGAGGCCUCCCGCGUAARGAUG